rnacentral:rRNA from 1 species
AGCGAACGCUGGCGGCAGGCUUAACACAUGCAAGUCGAGCGGGCACUUUCGGGUGUCAGCGGCGGACGGGUGAGUAACGCGUGGGAACGUGCCCUCUGGUUCGGAAUAACUCAGGGAAACUUGAGCUAAUACCGGAUACGCCCUUUUGGGGAAAGGCUUGCUGCCGGAGGAUCGGCCCGCGUCUGAUUAGCUAGUUGGUGAGGUAACGGCUCACCAAGGCGACGAUCAGUAGCUGGUCUGAGAGGAUGAUCAGCCACACUGGGACUGAGACACGGCCCAGACUCCUACGGGAGGAAGCAGUGGGGAAUAUUGGAAAAUGGGCGCAAGCCUGAUCCAGCCAUGCCGCGUGAGUGAUGAAGGCCUUAGGGUUGUAAAGCUCUUUUAUCCGGGACGAUAAUGACGGUACCGGAGGAAUAAGCCCCGGCUAACUUCGUG